GGGGGGGGGGGGGGGUGGGGGGGGGGGGGGGGGGGGGGGGGGGGGCGGAGGGGGAGCGGGCGGGGGGGGGGGGCGGGGGGGGGGCGGGGGGGGGAUAGGGCGGAGUCUGCGGUUGCGGGGGGGAGAACGGAGGGAGACGUAGGGUAAUACCGCAUACGACCUACGGGUGAGAGCCGGGGAUCUUGGAACCUUGCGAGAUUUCGUGAGACGGUGUCGGGUUAGCUAGUUGGCGGGGUAAAGGCCCACCAAGGCGACGAUCCGUAGCUGGUCUGAGAGGAUGAUCAGCCACACUGGAACUGAGACACGGUCCAGACUCCUACGGGAGGCAGCAGUGGGGAAUAUUGGACAAUGGGCGCAAGCCUGAUCCAGCCAUACCGCGUGGGUGAAGAAGGCCUUCGGGUUGUAAAGCCCUUUUGUUGGGAAAGAAAAGCAGCAGGUUAAUACCCCGCUGUUCUGACGGUACCCAAAGAAUAAGCACCGGCUAACUUCGUG
rnacentral:rRNA from 1 species